GAUGAACGCUGGCGGCGUGCUUAACACAUGCAAGUCGAACGGUGAAAGAGAGCUUGCUCUCUGGAUCAGUGGCGAACGGGUGAGUAACACGUGAGCAAUCUGCCCCUGACUCUGGGAUAAGCGCUGGAAACGGCGUCUAAUACCGGAUACGAGCUGCGAAGGCAUCUUCAGCAGCUGGAAAGAACUUCGGUCAGGGAUGAGCUCGCGGCCUAUCAGCUUGUUGGUGAGGUAAUGGCUCACCAAGGCGUCGACGGGUAGCCGGCCUGAGAGGGUGACCGGCCACACUGGGACUGAGACACGGCCAGGACUCCUACGGGAGGCAGCAGUGGGGAAUAUUGCACAAUGGGCGCAAGCCUGAUGCAGCAACGCCGCGUGAGGGACGACGGCCUUCGGGUUGUAAACCUCUUUUAGCAGGGAAGAAGCGAAAGUGACGGUACCUGCAGAAAAAGCACCGGCUAACUACGUGCCAGCAGCCGCCGUAAAAC
rnacentral:rRNA from 1 species